rnacentral:piRNA from 1 species
UNUAAAAAUAGUGCUGGUGGUAGAAAGG